AUGCAGGGGGGUUCGGUUGGAGAUGGCAGGAGGGAAAAGCCCUCCUCUAUUAUUGGCACCAGCGGCGGCGAUGACUCAGAUCUGCGGCUGCAACGGCGGAGUCGGCGUUGGUGGCGGCAUCAUCACUCCCCGGCAGCGGCAGCUUCUUAUCCCCUUCUUCUUCGACUCCGCCCGAGCGUCCUCGUCUCGGCCAUGUCUCCCCCGACCCCGAAGCUGGUAAGCUACCCCCCCCCCUCCUCUGUUAGGUCGUUUGGAUCGGAGAGGAUAGCCAAUCUGAAGUACAUCUACAAUUGCAACAACACUGAGGCUCAGUGGAUGCUUCGAAUGAAAAGAGCACCUUUCGCCAGUCUUGUGCAGAUGUUCAGGAGCAGGGGACUGCUAGAAGAUAGUAUCCACACCACUAUGGAAGAACAAGUAGUCAUGUUCCUCCAUGUUAUUGGUCAUAGCCAGAGGUUCAGGGUUGUACACAACACCUUCAGGAGAUCAAUGGAGAUCAUCUCCAGGUACUUCAAGCAAGUGGUGUAUGCUAUUGGGGAACUCAGAGGAGAGAUGAUCGUGUCACCAACUAGCCGGACUGCAACCAAGAUUCGCACUAGCCCAAGAUGGUAUCCAUACUUCAAGGAUUGCAUAGGGGCAAUAGAUGGUACUCAUGUCACUGCCAGUACGCCGAGGUCACAAGUUGUAGCAUAUAGAGGGAGGAAGCACUACACAAGUCAAAAUGUGCUUGCUGUUGUUGACUUUGAUCUGAAGUUCACACAUGUGCUGGCUGGCUGGGAAGGAUCCGCACAUAAUUCUAACAUUCUCAGUGACAACAUAAGUCAUCAUGAUGGCAUCAAUAUCCCCGAUGGCAAGUUCUACCUAGGAGAUGUUGGCUAUGCAUGUCGUCCAGGUGUUCUUCCACCCUUCAGGAAAACCAGGUACCAUCUGAACGAGUUCUCUGGUAGGAACUAUCUUAGGACUCCUUCAAAACUGUUCAACCUCAGACACUCCAACCUUAGAGUAACGGUUGAGAGGGCAUUUGGAGCUCUGAAGAAUAGGUUUAAGAUCCUGGAUCAGAAGCCAUUCCACCCUUACCCUACCCAGGAGGAAGAGGCGACUCCUGAUGAGGUGAUCAGCUCCGGCCAUGGUAUGGAGGCGUUUGACAAUGAAGCAUGGAAGAACAAAAGGUCCAACCGGGACAAGCAUGCAAAAUGCCCUACACAGAAAUGUGAACCGAACGCACCCUUGGAGGCGCUCUUUAUUCACAUCCGAGAAUUCAAGAAAAGAAGAGAAAAGAAAAUUUCCCCUCGGGGGUCGGUGCCACGCCCUUCGCACACCCCCAUGGAGCACUCCAUUAUUCAGUUUGGGGUCUUGCUUGCUUGUCCGGCAUGGGUUACCCAAAGUAGCGGCUGCCGGGUCCCGCAUGUGCAUAGAUAUGUUUGA
rnacentral:rRNA from 1 species